rnacentral:rRNA from 1 species
UUAGUAACGGCGAGUGAAGCGGCAAUAGCUCAAAUUUGAAAGCUGGCUCCUUCGGAGUCCGCGUUGUAAUUUGUAGAGGAUGCUUCGGCAAGGGCUCCCGUCUAAGUCCCCUGGAACGGGGCGUCACAGAGGGUGAGAAUCCCGUAUGUGAUGGGUUGCCUAAGCCAUGUGAAGCUCCUUCGACGAGUCGAGUUGUUUGGGAAUGCAGCUCUAAAUGGGAGGUAAAUUUCUUCUAAAGCUAAAUACCGGCCAGAGACCGAUAGCGCACAAGUAGAGUGAUCGAAAGAUGAAAAGCACUUUGGAAAGAGAGUUAAAAAGUACGUGAAAUUGUUGAAAGGGAAGCGCUUGCAGCCAGACUUGUCCGCAGUUGCUCAGCCGGUCUCUUGACCGGCGUACUCUUCUGCGGCCAGGCCAGCAUCAGUUCGGGCGGUCGGAUAAAGGUCCUGGGAAUGUAGCUCCCCUCGGGGAGUGUUAUAGCCCAGGGCGCAAUGCGGCCAGCCUGGACUGAGGAUCUCGCUUCGGCUAGGAUGCUGGCGUAAUGGCUGUAAGCGGCCCGUCUUGAAACACGGACCAAGGAGUCUAACAUCUAUGCGAGUGUUUGGGUGUCAAACCCAUGCGCGUAAUGAAAGUGAACGGAGGUGGGAACCCUCACGGGUGCACCAUCGACCGAUCCUGAUGUCUUCGGAUGGAUUUGAGUAAGAGCAUAGCUGUUGGGACCCGAAAGAUGGUGAACUAUGCCUGAAUAGGGUGAAGCCAGAGGAAACUCUGGUGGAGGCUCGCAGCGGUUCUGACGUGCAAAUCGAUCGUCAAAUUUGGGUAUAGGGGCGAAAGACUAAUCGAACC